AGCAGCCGCGGUAAUUCCAGCUCCAAUAGCGUAUAUUAAAGUUGUUGCAGUUAAAAGCUCGUAGUUGAACUUCAGGCCUGUCCAGAUGGUCCGCCUUAAUUGGUGUGUACUGUCCUUGGGUGGGUCCUACCUUCUGGCGAAGCGGCAUGGCCUUAAUUGGUUGUGUUGGGGAACCAGGACUUUUACUGUGAAAAAAUUAGAGUGUUCAAAGCAGGCAAAUAUGCUCGAAUACAUUAGCAUGGAAUAAUGGAAUAGGACGAUGGUUCUAUUUUGUUGGUUCUAGGACCGUUGUAAUGAUUAAUAGGGAUAGUUGGGGGCAUUAGUAUUCAAUUGUCAGAGGUGAAAUUCUUGGAUUUAUUGAAGACUAACUACUGCGAAAGCAUUUGCCAAGGAUGUUUUCAUUAAUCAAGAACGAAAGUUAGGGGAUCGAAGACGAUCAGAUACCGUCGUAGUCUUAACCAUAAACUAUGCCGACUAGGAAUCGGGCGAUGUUGACAAAAUGACUCGCUCGGCACCUCAU
rnacentral:misc_RNA from 1 species